rnacentral:rRNA from 1 species
UACGUAGGGUGCGAGCGUUGUCCGGAAUUAUUGGGCGUAAAGGGCUCGUAGGCGGUUUGUCGCGUCGGGAGUGAAAAUCCAGGGCUUAACUCUGGACUGGCUUCCGAUACGGGCAGACUAGAGGUAUGCAGGGGAGAACGGAAUUCCUGGUGUAGCGGUGAAAUGCGCAGAUAUCAGGAGGAACACCGGUGGCGAAGGCGGGUCUCUGGGCAACAACUGACGCUGAGGAGCGAAAGCGUGGGGAGCGAACAGG